UAGUACGGCGAGUGAGCAGCAAUAGCUCAAAUUUGAAAGCUGGCGUCUUCGGCGUCCGCAUUGUAAUCUCAAGAAGUGUUUUCCGCUUCGGACCAAGCCUAAGUCCCCUGGAAAGGGGCAUCAUAGAGGGUGAUAAUCCCGUACAUGGCUUGGAGCGCCCGAGGCUUUGUGAUACGCUUUCUAAGAGUCGAGUUGUUUGGGAAUGCAGCUCAAAAUGGGUGGUAAAUGCCAUCUAAGGCUAAAUAUUGGGGAGAGACCGAUAGCGAACAAGUACAGUGAUGGAAAGAUGAAAAGAACUUUGAAAAGAGAGUUAAACAGUACGUGAAAUUGCCAAAAGGGAAGGGUAGGGGGUCAGAGAUGCGGCCUGGGAUUCAGCCUUGCUUUUGCUUGGUGUUUUUCCCAGAUUGCAGGCCAACGUCGGUUUUGGGCACUGGAGAAGGGUAGGAGGAACGUGGCACCCCUCGGGGUGUGUUAUAGCCUCCUACUGGAUACAGCGACCGAGACCGAGGACAGCAGCGUACUCGCAAGAGCGGGCCUUCGGGCACCUUUACGCUUAGGGCGUUGGCAUAAUGGCCCUCUACCACCCGUCUUGA
rnacentral:rRNA from 1 species